GGGGAAGCAAGAUUUAUUUUAUCUAUUGGUUGCUAAGCUAUCGUAAACAAAUCGAUUUGCGCGACACUUUGCCUUUGCAGUACUUUGCAUACAAAGGAUGGAGAUUGUUUAAAAAAAUAUAUAAAUAAAUGCCGUACCUUAUUAAUGCUUUACUUUAUUGUCGGAUUUAUCUCAAUUUUAAAUCGGGAAGUUUUAUUGUUUGCAUUAUUAUUUUUCCGUGCUUGUAAUUG
rnacentral:lncRNA from 1 species